rnacentral:lncRNA from 1 species
GCAAUGGAAGAGGAAGACGAUAUACCUUCCCCGAGGUUCCUUAAAAAGGCUUCUGGCGAUUUCCCGCCGAAAGGGAACAUCCCGAAAGUCCCCAAGUUCACGAAAGAGAUCAAGGGAAUGUUCCAAUCCGCCACCAAAAAGCUGCAGCCUAAGAAAUCGAUGAAAGCGUCAGCAAGUUCUGUUUCGAAAUCCAGUCUGACGAAACCUGAGGCGUUCAAGGAGAUAGAUAAGCUUCAAAAGCAGGUUCUUGGGUUGCAGACCGAGAAAGAGUUUGUGAAAAGCUCGUAUGAGAAUGGGUUAGCUAAGUAUUGGGAGAUCGAUCAGCAGAUUAGGGAGAUUCAGGAUAAAGCUUGUACCUUGCAAGAAGAGUUUGGGGCGGAGAACGUUAUUGAAGAUGAUGAAGCUCGAUCGGUGAUGACCUCUGCUGCGUUGAGAUCGUGUCAGGAGACGCUGGCUAAGUUGGAGGAGAAGCAAGAGAAGUCGGUCGAGGAAGCGAAGAAAGAAC